rnacentral:rRNA from 1 species
GACCCCAUGCCGAACUCAGAAGUGAAACGCCGUAGCGCCGAUGGUAGUGUGGGGUCUCCCCAUGUGAGAGUAGGAAACUGCCAGGCA